rnacentral:rRNA from 1 species
UGACGGGCCCGCACAAGCAGCGGAGCGUGUGGUUUAAUUCGAUGUUACACGAAGACCUUACCAGGGUUUGACAUGCAAGUGGUAGGAAGCCGAAAGGUGACCGACCCUUCGGGGAGCUUGCACAGGUGCUGCAUGGCUGUCGUCAGCUCGUGUCGUGAGAUGUUCGGUUAAGUCCGCUAACGAGCGCAACCCUCGCUGUGUGUUAUAUGUGUCACACGGGACUGCCGGUCUUAAGCCGGAGGAAGGUGGGGAUGAUGUCAAGUCAGCAUGGCCUUUAUAUCCUGGGCUACACACACGCUACAAUGGCCAACACAAUAGGUUGCUAAGCCGCGAGGUGGCGCCAAUCCAUAAAGUUGGUCUCAGUUCAGAUUGUAGGCUGCAACCCGCCUGCAUGAAGAUGGAGUUGCUAGUAACCGCAGGUCAGCUAUACUGCGGUGAAUACGUUCCCGGGGCUU